CAGACAAGUAGCUUACCGCCAAGGUUGGAGUUAGUUAUGAGGACACUCCUUCAAGCGAAACCGGAUUUUAGUUGGAAGAAUACUUUUUCAAAAGCUCCCAGACAUACCAUAUACAGCCUUAUUUGACUCGGGAAUAGGACAAUGAACAACAUUUGGCACAGUAAGUAACUUACUCAAGGAUUCAUGUCAACAAGACUAAGUUUGGAGAAGAGAACCACCCCAAGGUAAGGAAGCUGAUGAACUGUAUGGUUUCAAUCAGUUAAAUAUCUUAAAUUAUUGAUAUGUUAAACACUCAAAAUACAUAAAUGUCUUAAAAAUAUAUACGGUUUGUUACAUAGUUACUAAAUACUACGAGUUAAGAUGAAAUGACGCACAGUGACGCCAAACGUACAGGCAACGUACUGACGUAGGUUUGUGGGAAAUCCCUUUCCGUUUCCACACCGAAUACAAAACAUGGGGAAUACAUGCUUCAAUUCCAAAAAGGUAAUGUUUUGUCUUUCGAAAUACUAUUUUUAUGUAUUUUUUUGUACAUAUAGAAAUUAAGAACAUUGACAUUCAUUCAACAUAGGCUAUGUGCAUGCAUGCAUGUAGAUUUUUGUCUAAGAGAAUGUCAACAGCAUGUUGUUUGUGCUAUGCUACUCAACAAGUGGAAGCUAAUAACAAAACUAUAUAGCAUUUUUGCUAUCAUUUUACAACAUUUUGUAAUUUUGCCCAAUAGUGUAGACGGGAGGUUUGACAAAACUGUAGACUAUAGGGACCAUUCAUCCCUCAGAGCAGACCACAGUUUAAGUCAGUUUUGGCCAGGUAACCAACACACGCAGAACUGCUAAAGGCCAUUGAGUUUCAAAUGAGUAAACUACAACAAUUUAACUAUAUGAUCGAGGAAAUUGACCCUCAAGCUUGUUUGAGACUUAGUUUUCACUUCCAUUAUGUUUUAUUCAGUACAGAGGAUAUUAAAGCUAGGAAUGCAUUUUGUAAUGUUGCAGACCCAGAGUGAGGAACAGCAUGAGAAAAAUAAAGAUGCUGGCCCCUCUGAGUGUCAGAAUCAUAACAAUUGCCAUCCUCACCAACCUCUAACGUUAUUGAUUUCAGCUACUGAACUGUCCAACUACUCAUCACUGAAUUUCAAAUGUUACAAUAACAGAUUAAAUUAAUGUGUAACUCAAUUAGCUUAUAUUUGCUGUAACAUCAAAUAGGUGGCUAUGACUAUUUUUCUAGAUCCCACAACAAUGUAAAGAAGACCAAUCUGGCACCAAGACAGAGGUGUAUUAUGAAAACCAUUUUCUUCCUUGGGAAUGGAACAUCACAGCCUUGUGAGUUGUCUGUGUAUUUGUUUUAGUGAUUGGAAUUUGGUGAUGGUAAGGAACCUUAAGGUGUCUUGAAAAAUGAACCAAUCUUUUAUACCUAGGUCUACUUUUUUUUCUUUUUAGAAUUCAGAACAACCACGUGGAAUCAACUGUGCCUGUAAAUAGCACGGUGGUCCCAUUUCAGGCUGGGGUGGCAGCUGUGAAUAUACCUCAUCUAGGCUCCAUCUCAAUAGGAUCAUCUCCAGACUGUGUCCAGGAAGCUCUACCUCAUACCGACGGCUCUUCCUCACAGCAUUCACCUCAACACCAGAUUCUGCAAUGAUGCAGCCAUAACAUCAGGUAUGAAGAGCUCCAGGAGCCUUGGAAGAAGAGAUUAAGUGAAGGAAGUGGCUGCUUUUGAAACAAUUUCUGCUGCUAUUUUCUGUUGUUUUUAAGAUGUAUGUAUGUAUGUAUGUAUGUAUGUAUGUAUGUAUGUAUGUAUGUAUCUAGGCCAUGUAUGUUUUUGUAUUUAAAUAAAUAUAUGUUAUUACUUGUGCAUUGAGAUAGCAUUUAUGUUCCAAUCAAAAUCAUAAAAACACCAAGAGUGCUUUGGUGGUUCCACUCUAGUUGCAGAUAGUUUUUUCUGAUAUAUUAGUUAUCCUUCAAAAUGCUUUACAUUUGAGCAUGAACGGUGCAGCAUUUGCGUGAAUGCAGUGCAUCGAUCUAGCCAUAAUAUUAUCGCCUUGAUCACACUGACAGCGUCAUUGCCAGGAUGACCAGAGGAGGGUGACGUGUGGUCCCAACAGAUCAAACGAUCGCGGACAGCAGACGGAACAUACAGACGCCCAACUGGACACUGGGUGGGAGUGGGCUCUGUACGUAACGCCCGCUCGAUGUCCGCGUUUACCUCCCAUACCACCGGUGCCACCAGGCAAGAAGCCGGAAGUAUGGGAGUGGGAUCCGUGGACCGCUCCUCUGUGUCAUACAUCCGGGACAGUGCGUCUGCCUUAGCGUUCUGGGAACCUGGUCUGUAGGAUAGGGUGAAAACAAAACAGGUGAAAAACAUGGCCCACCUUGCCUGGCGAGGGUUCAGUCUCCUCGUCACCCGGAUGUACUCCAGAUUGCAGUGGUCAGUCCAGAUGAGGAAAGGGUGUUUAGCCCCCUCAAGCCAAUGUCUCCACGCCUUCAGAGCCUUCAGAGCCCCACAUCAUAGUUUCGCUCCGCCGGGCUGAGUUUCUUCGAAAAGAAAGCACAGGGGCGGAGCUUUGGUGGCGUACCUGAGCACCGAGACAGCACAGCUCCUAUCCCAGCCUCAGACGCGUCCACCUCUACUAUAAAUGCCAAGGAGGGAUCAGGAUGAGCCAGCACGGGAGCCGAGGUAAACAGAGCCUUCAGGUGACCAAAAGCCCUGUCCGCCCCAGCUGACCACUGCAGUCGCACCAGUCCCCCCUUCAACAAGGAGGUAAUGGGAGCCGCUACCUGACCAAAGCCUCAGAUAAACCUCCGGUAGUAGUUGGCAAACCCUAAGAACCGCUGCACCUCCUUUACCGUGGUUGGAGUCGGCCAAUUACGCACGGCUGCAAUGCGGUCAUGUUCCAUCUCCACUCCUGACGCGGAAAGGCGGUACCCUAGGAAGGAGACGGACUGUUGGAAGAACAGACAUUUCUCAGCCUUGACGUACAGGUCAUGCUCCAACAGUCGACCAAGCACCCUGCACACCAGGGACACAUGCUCGGCGCGUGUAGCGGGGUACAUUAGAAUGUCAUCUAUAUACACCACUACGCCCUGCCCGUGCAGGUCCCUGAAAAUCUCAUCUACAAAGGAUUGGAAUACUGAUGGAGCAUUCAUCAACCCGUACGGUAUGACGAGGUACUCAUAGUGCCCAGAGGUGGUACUAAAUGCCGUCUUCCACUCAUCCCCUUCCCGGAUAAACACCAGGUUGUAAGCGCUCCUGAGAUCCAAUUUUGUGAAGAAGCGCGCCCCGUGCAAUGUCUGUCACACUGGCUAUGAGUGGCAGCGGGUAACUGUACUUCACCGUGAUCUGAUUUAUACCUCGAUAGUCAAUACACGGGCGUAAACCUUCAUCUAUCUUCUUCACAAAAAAUAAACUUGAGGAGGCAGGUGAAGUGGAAGGCCGAAUGUAUCCCUGUCCUAGAGAUUCGGAGACAUAUGUUUCCAUAGCCACCGUCUCCUCCUGUGACAGAGGAUACACGUGACUCCUGGGAAGUGCUGCGUCUACCAGGAGAUUUAUCGCACAAUGCCCCCGUCGAUGGGGUGGUAGUUGAGUCUUCUUACAGAAGGCGAGAGCCAAAUCGGCAUAUUCAGGGGGGAUGUGCAUGGUGGAGACCUGGUUUGGACUCUCCACUGUAGUUGCACCUAUGGCAACACCUACGGUACACACCUCCCUGAGCACUAACGUGACCAUCCCUUGAGAGGCCUCUGUUGCUACGAAAUAUUGGGGUCAUGAUAGGUCAACCAGGGAAGGCCCAACACCACAGGAAACGCAGGAGAAUCGAUCAGGAAGAGACUAAUUCUCUCCUCAUGACCCUCCUGCGUUAUCAUACAUAGGGGAGCUGUGACCUCCCUAAUCAGCCCCGACCCUAACGGACGACUAUCUAAGGCAUGUACAGGGAAGGGCACAUCAUCAGGAACAAUAGGGAUCCCUAAUCUAAGUGCAAAUGAACGGUCAAUAAAGUUCCCAACUGCACCUGAAUCUACUAGCGCUUUAUGCUGGGAAUGCAGGGAAAACUCAGGAAAUUCUAUACACACACGUGCGCAACAGGAAGCUCUGGGUGAGUCGGGUGCCUACUCACCUGGGAUGAUCCACCAGUGCCCUGCCUGCUGCCUCGACUCCCUGGGGAACCUCCCCAGCACCGAUCAGCAGUGUGCCCUCUGUGGCCACAUGUGGUGCAGGA
rnacentral:lncRNA from 1 species